rnacentral:sRNA from 1 species
CGACCGACCUGGCCUCCAAAUAGGAGCCAA